GGGGAGCUCCCCCUGCAUUUAGAGCAGGAUGCUGCAGUGCUGUUUGAAGAGUGUUGCUCUGCAAGCCGAGAGAGAGAUUGGAGUUGGGAUCCAGCACCUUGGAGAAAACAGCAACAGGAGGUAGUUUCCAGAUAAGCAGAAGCUGGACUCUGAGAUGGAAACUGAGCAAGAACUCCGUGAGUCAGGAUUCAGGACAGGUUUGAGAGUUGCAUGAGCAGAGGCCAUGCGAGCUGGAGGUCUCCUUUUGAAGAGAGGCCUUGAACAUUAUUUCUCCUCUGAGCAUUUUUUCUUGAAGUGCUUGAGACUGUUGACGGAAAACCACUUACUGAAGGCUCCACCAGCACCACCCAUAGGAAUGACAGAGUGAAAAAAGCAGAGGGUAGAGGAUGACUGAAAUAUCUGAAUCAGGAAAAAAAUUGGUUGUCUUUGAGAACUGCACAGUUCCAUCCUAAAUUGCGUCUUUAGCAUGGAGUGAAAUAACAAUAGAAGUGAUUUCUUCUUGGGUGAGUCUUUUCUUGCAAUUAAUUUAGGGGGGAAU
rnacentral:lncRNA from 12 species